rnacentral:rRNA from 1 species
GACGAACGCUGGCGGCGUGCCUAAUACAUGCAAGUCGAACGCAGUGGGGAUGGGUGAGUAACACGUGGGUAACCUCCCAUCAGAGGGGAUAACACUUGGAAACAGGUGCUAAACCGAUACUGAUGGAUGGACCCGCGGUGCAUUAGCUCGUUGGUGGGGUAACGGCUCACCAAGGCCACGAUGCAUAGCAGUCCUGAGAGGGGAAUCGGCCACACGGGGACUGGGACACGGCCCAGACUCCUACGGGAGGCAGCAGGAGGGAAUCUUCGGCAAUGGACGAAAGCCUGACGGAGCAACGCCGAGUGAGUGAAGAAGGUUUUCGGAUCGUAAAGCUCUGUUGUUAGAGAAGCGGUAUCUAACCAGAAAGCCACGGCUAACUACGUGCCAGCAGCCGCGGUAAUUC